GUAACGGCAAGUGGAACAUCCUAACAUCCUGGCAAUCCUAAGUAACUGCGCAUUCCGUCAUUAGCUUUUUUCCCUUCAACGCGACAGGACGUUUUUCCUUCCGUGUCCGCGCAUCCUUGGUUCACUGAAUUCUGCCGCACGCUUUUCUCGCCACCACCGAAACUUAUACAUCGCAUACCCAUACACAGCCGCUGAAAAGAAAAAGUUUAAACCCGAGUUCCAGUGAAAAAGAACAGUUUUCAAUAACGGGACUUGCAGUCUUUCCCGGAAGGGCACUGAGCUUCUUUCCUUAUAAUUUGCGAGAACAUUUUCACAUAAUUUGCAUGGAAAACAAAUGUACAUAAGCGACUGGAAGAAGCUCGAAUUUGCCAAUCAGCCGCAACAAUACAAGAAAAGUGCCAAAAUAUCGUAAAGCAUGUGAGUCUUCGACGAAAGGAAAAUAGCUGGACAUAAAAUUUACAGUUACGUGGGAUUUACAACCGAGAACAGUUACACACAGACAACCCCACUGGCCCACCCACACACACACUCGCAAGAAGUUACUGCGAUAGGGGCGGGGAAAGGGGAGUGGAGUCCUUGAAGCAUCUCGGCUUACGAACAACCCCCAACAACAUUGGGUGCGUCGGUACUCGGCCUGAACGUAACGGGAAACGGCAAAAAAUAACCGUCAACAAAAAACAAACAAACACAAACACAGGAAGCCGACAGAGUCCGUGUGUGUGUUCUGGUGUAGAUUUACCGUUGCCCUUUCAUCUGCGGCAAGAGUGUGUGUGGGCGCCACAAUAAAAGGAGGCGCAAAGGAUAUUAUGAGGCCGACGUUGUCUGCCGCAUUUGCGAAUAAGCAACUACCAUCCGUCCACUUUGGUUAAGACUAGGGAUACCACUAUGUUUGGAUCCAAGCUGCGCUCCUGGAUGGAGACGCACAUCGUGCGUCCCCGUAAGAAGGGCAGCAAGCACAAGCAGGCGGUCUCGGAAGCGGGCAGUUCCUGCUCCGGGAAGAAGGCGGGCACCCUGCCGCCGCAGGGAAGCAACUUGACCAGUCCGGUCCUGACCAGCAGCGGGAGCCACAGCAUCGCCAGUCCGGUGCGGAGGCGCGAGGUCUCGCCAAUCCAGUGCCACCCACCCAGUCGGCGAUAUGGCUGGCAAUCCCCAGACGAAGACUCAUACGUCAUAACUUCGCCCAAGUCGGACAAUCUGCUAUACGCUCCGCACUGCUAUCAGCCCCACCAGCCGCUGCAGCAGCCUUCGCACCACCUUAGUGUGCCCAAUAGCAAGGAUAACUCCUGUGCCGAGAAGUCGCCCAUCAGGGUAAACUGCUCCUCGUCCUCCAUAUCGUCGUUGUCCUGGUCAACAGGCUCCAAGGAACCCUCUUCUGGCAAGCAAGCCACUUUUAGGGAGCAGGCCAUAAAUGGGGAAUACCACAUCCCACCAGAGGAGGAGGCGGAGUACGAGGAGGUGGGCGCUCUGUUGCUCCGGCCUCCGGCCCCCAUUGCGGAACAGCAGCGUCCACAGUCCGAGAACUUGAGCGCCAUGCGGCUUAUCUACGAGGAGGAGCCCAGGCAGAGCAGCAACCAUGUCCGAUACGGGCGCCUGCUUCCCUCCAAGCUGGCGCAGGCUCAGCUUGGCGAGUCUCUGGACAAUUUGACAGCUACGCCUCCAGUCCCACCCGCUCCACCUUCCGGUUCGCGUAUGCGAACUCCCCGCGGAAUGCAGCGCAGCAACUUUAUGCCAGGACCUAGGCCCCACAGCUUGCCCUCGCCAGAGAGCGCCUACUCCACGGGCUACUCCACAGAUGGCACAUCGCCGUGCGCCGCCAGCAACUACAAUCCGCCCGAGUACUACAUCAACAUGCGCUCGGGAACCCACUACUUCCCCAAGAGCGUAAAUUCGCUGGCCAUCGAGGCAAAGCGCUACAAGUUCGGCCUAAACCGCAUUGAGGAGAUGUCGCCCAUGGAUCCGCUGCCUAAGAGCAACUUCGCAAGUGCCAAUCAUGGCCUGGAGUCGUCGCCCAGUCCGCUGGCAGUGCGGCAGCAGCCCAAGCUUUUUGAAUCUCCUUCGCCGAGACAGCGCUGUCGCAUAAGAACAAAUCCAUGGUACAACACGGGAGAGCACUUACCAGCCUCCUCGGGCCCCACGCGCCUGGAUCUGGAUGCCACCAGCACCACCUCCACGACCUCGUCGGGCAUUAAGUCAAGCAAUGAGCUGGAAGUUCCGGCGGCCAAAACAACAGCAAACAAAGCAGGAAAGGCAGCCGCUCAUACUGCCAACCCCAACAGCCGAGGCACUCCUAGCAAGUCUGCCAAAGUGGCAGGUGUGGACACUGUUGAGGGUGGGUCUGGUGGUGCACCUGGUUCAGGGGUCGCUUACGAGUCCGAGGGCUCUUCGACGUCGACUGAAGUGGAAAAUCUGCAUGCCCCACACACCAUAAAGCGUCGUCACAUGGAGCAAGCGGAGACGACAACAACUUCAGCGCCUGUGGCUGCUGGCGGUGGAGCUGGAGCUACCACCAUCUCCUUCGUGCUCAGUGAUGACGAGGCCACACUCAACGAGAUGAUUGGGAAGUUUGACGAGAGCUACAUCUACGAAAAGGAGACUGACAUACUAAGCAGCGACUCGGAUAUUACUGACUGCUGUGCCUCGGAGCUGGAUACUGGACAGGAUGCGGGUGAUGAGUGUGACACGGACGAGCUUUUGGAUAUUGACUUUAUAGACACUUCUUCCAUGCAAGAGGUGGUAAUCGAUCGCCAGGACCUUUCGCGCAAUCUGGGCAGCUGCCACUACUAUUCGAAUCAACCGAUUAGCCCGAUAAUGAAGCGGAAGGCUUCAACCCGCUCCCGCCGCAAAAGCGGUCAAGAGACAGGAGAAAGCUCCCAACAGCGUCGUCGCAAGCGGUUCCUUAAGACCCGCAAGAAGAGCUGCGAAAACCGCGAAAAGCUCCCUUCGUCGCCACUCCGUGAGCCUCGCGGAACCCGAAGUGUGGGAGGUACGCCCGUCUGUUUACGCCGUAAUCUACUGAGUGCACGGGAGAGGAUCUACAAGACUUCCCCUCUCUCAAACCGCUCUAAUUCGCUGAUCUUUGGCAGCAGCAAUGAGAAGAACACACUCACAAUCGCAGAAAGCGAAAAGGCUCUUCUCAAGGCAGACUUAGAGGCUGAUAUGAAGUACAAGCAGCUCAUCAUGGAGGCAGAGUCUUUGCUGGAGUCUAUGAAGAACAGCUUACAGAGUAUUCCCAGAGACACUCCCGUCGCCAGUCCGAGGCGCUUAAAUCCCUUGGCCAAUAAGCGCGUGGAGAUGCUCAAGAACAGUGAGGUGGACUCAAAAAAACAAGCGCCACCUCAAAAUCCUCCUCCACUAGAGCAUGAACUAGCCGCAGCUAUUAAUAAACGCAUAGAGAUGCUAAAGUUUGAGACUACGUCUGCUUCCUCGCCACCAAACAGUCCCAAACUUGGGCGUUGCAGUCCUCGCAAGACGCACCUGACCAACUUCAUGAAUCAAAAUGCGCCGCCAGAGCUGCCGCCCCGCAAGAUAAACGGCAACACUCCCACUGCUCCACUCUCGCCGCAGCUUCAGCUAAAUGGCAGGCGCCUCCAGGAGAGUCCAAAGGGCAAGAGGCGCACUAUGAUGGUAACAUCCACGACCACGACAACGGUGAUCAGCUUUAACGGCAGUGAUUCUGAGAUGGAGAGCAUUGCUGUGGAGGAUAUUGGCAAUCACAACUACUUGCCACAGCAGCAGUCGAACACGAAAAUCAAGAUGGAUGUCCAAACACAGCAUAAAUUGAGUGCGGAGUCACAGAUUAACAACAACUUUUAUUGCCCACAUAGCGAGCCCUUGAAGCGAAAGGUCUACAAGGGAAGCUCCUCCUUCGAGCGCAUAAAGAAGAACUUCGACAUGGAAUUGGAUGCGAACGGACGGAGCAAGUCGAAUGAGCGUUCGCAAAUUAAACUUACGGCCUCCGUGUCGGCCAAGAGCUCUAUGCAAGACGUGACCGUUGACGAGGCCAAGGGCCAGGCAAUGGGCGGUAGCGACCGCAAGCAGCAGCUUAUACUUAACACCAUCGUCGAUUUGAAGCGCAGCUUGGAGCAUCAGAGUCACCAGUUGAGUGGCCUAAAUGGUGAACAGAACUGAGUGAACUAACUAAUAGGGCUAAUAUCAUCAUCAUUAUACUUCACCAUGCAUUAUCUAGACAGUAACUAGUUCACUAAGACCUAAGCUAACAGUCCAACCGAAUCCCUCAGACUAGACACUGAAACUGAGCGCAAUAACUUUCUAACUGAUAAGAGAAGACGAUUAUUUACACGUAUGGUAUGAUACUCAAUGGGCGUAAUAGGAACGAUGGACUGUUAUGGAAAGUUAUUACGAAAAAUUUGUAGCAUGUAGCAAAUUGUUUUUGAUGGAGUUUUACAAACGUAUACAUAACCGAAAUGAUUUCUGUAUGAAGUAUUUCAAGUUUGAUCUUUAGUUUAAAAAUGUUUUUUGAUAUACUCGUAUCAUCCAUUUUAGUUAAAGCAUAUCGAAACUGUUCUAUACUGACAUUCUGUUUAUAUUUAUCGUUUAGGUUUGUUUUUUUAAUUCGAUAAGUACUUGUUUUUAUGGAAAUCCUAACGUUAUAUUUUAUAUUUGUUUGAGAAACGUCAAGCUGGAAACGUGUUUAGAACACUAGUUCCUUGACAAGUUCUGUUUAACUAUCCUACCAACUCAUACUAUCCAAACUUAGCUUGAAUACGUUGAUAUUAGUCACUAUAAAAAACUACAUAAGUCAAUAACUGGUAAUAUUCCUUAGUUACUUAUCGAGCGUUUGUGGGUGCGUUAAUGUGAAAAAAUAUCCUUAAUUAUUAAUGCAUAUCCCACAUGAACCUCGCCUACAAUUAGAGAGCUCAUCUUAUCGCUAGACUUGGUAGAACAUUUCACUUAAUCAGCAUUAUCACAAAAGUAUUCAGAUGUAGUUAUUUAAGUAAAUUGUAUUACGAUCCAUCCAAACGAAAAUUGUUUAGCCAAAUUGUUUGUAGACCAAUGAAAGGAAAAGACAUUGUUUUACUGUUUUGUUUCCUCAGUUAAGAAGAUGAGGAGGAUUGUGUUUUUAUGCUAGACAUUGGAUAAUCCUAACCAAAAUCGAGUUAUAUUUCAAUUGGUCUCACCAUGAAUUUAUAAUAUGUUGUAUUGGCAAAAAUUAUAAUGAUUUCCAAUUGGGGGUAAAUUGGUUGUAAUUUGGAUUAAUCGACUUGUGAAAUUAUGAAUUAUGUAUUGUGUUGUGUAUCCACUUAAUAUGCAUAUAGACGCUGUAGAACCUACACAAAGAAUACAUAAUCUAAGUAAUACUGUAACGUGAUAAUAAACUUAAUGAAAACCCCAAGACCAAAAUCAAACGAGAUCCGAAUCAAAGGGGAUCGACGGUGUAGUAAGUAUAAAGUAGUUACAUGUAGCUUAACAGUUAUGUUUGUGGUUUUUGUUUCACACAUGUGUGCACUUUGUAGCUUUGCGUACUUGUUUCUCAUUGAAAUUAAAAUUGCAAUUAGUUUUCGUUUUCGCUUACGUACUAGUGCCUGCUUAUAGUGCAGGAGGGGUAGUGGUCGGGUAUGUUGUGUUAAAUUUACUUAAUUAGUUUCACCCGCGACGCGACACUUGAACAUCGAACACCAGGCACCAAGCACUGACCGCUGGCCCCGCAAGGCGAAAGACGCACGCCGCGAAAUCAAGACAUCGAACUCGAUAUUUUGAACUUUAAAUGGGCUGCUAAUGCGUAGUUCCACCCAGCCCACUGUGACGACUCGGACCUGCAGCUGUCAUGGUAAUUUAUGCGCCCUAGAUUCCAAAUAUUCAGUUGGAUUUCCUAUUCCGAUUAAAGCGACCUUAAGACAAUCCGACGAGCUUUUGAUAAGACGAUUUACAAACCGCAACUUAGGAGAGACUGCAUCAGAUUCACUCCCAUGACGGGGAUAAGCAUCCGUUGGGGAUGGGCUAAACCCGGUACCACGAGUGGUAUGAGUGAUAUUCGUUGUUGCUGAAUACCCAUUAUCCUAUCAGACGACGACACAUUCAUGGUGGAAUUUCCAGAGACGCCGAUCCGAACCCCGUUUCUUGUCAUCUCGUUCGUUAUUAUGUCUGGCUGUAAAAAUAAACCCACACCGUUCUAAAAAUCCCCAGAAGAGCAUCGACAAUGGAAAAUUAGCAGACAGAUCAUGGACUGGUCGUCCGAGCCUCCGCCGCUGCUAAUUAUGCAAAUGGGGACCGAGGAAGGGAGCGGGCUGGAAGAGGAACGGCUGCCUGCCUGCCCGCUGGAAUACCAAUUGACCGGGCCACGCUUGAAACAUCAAAUCAGCAUUAAGUGGGCAAAAAACGUGGCUCGAAAGAGCGGCCAUAAAAUGGCUGGUGGCCCAGUGAAGGAGGCGCGACCUGCUCUGGCUGCGUUGGAGAUGUGCCCUAUAUGGCCAAACUGGUUCGGCUUCCACGCUCUGGAGGAGGCGGAAUGCAACCCGAAUGGCAGGGGCCGGUCCCCUAGAUGCAUACCUCUGCUUUGCUUUGUUUUGCUUAUUGGGGACGACGGGUACUUAUCCAAAGAAUGCUGCAAAUUAAAGGAAGUCGAAAAAACUUAAUAAUUCGAACACUUCAACUAUUUUAAAAAAAUAAACAGAGGAAUGGAUAACAGCUAGAAUAUAUAAAACGCGAUCUAAAUAAGGGAGUACAGUUCGUAUUCUUAUAUAUUAUCCUAUGACUAUUUAAACUAGAUCUUAAUACGAAAAAUAAAUAAAAGCAAAGU